GCGCGAAAACUUUACAAUGCCGGCAACGGCGAUAAGGGGACCUCGAGUGCCAGGUUACAAAUCUGGCUGUCGUGAUGCCUAAAAAGCAUUGCAUAGCAAGGGCCGGGCAAGACCGGUGCCAGCCGCCGCGGUAACACCGGCGGCUCGAGUGGUAACCGUUAUUAUUGGGUCUAAAGGGUCUGUAGCCGGCCGGAUAAGUCUCUUGAGAAAUCCAGCAGCUCAACUGUUGGGCUUUCAGGAGAUACUGUCUGGCUCGAGGCCGGGAGAGGUGAGAGGUACUUCAGGGGUAGGGUGAAAUCUUGUAAUCCUUGAAGGACCACCAGUGGCGAAGGCGUCUCACCAGAACGGACCUGACGGCAAGGGACGAAAGCUAGGGGCACGAACCGGAUUAGAGACCCCA
rnacentral:rRNA from 1 species